GACGAACGCUGGCGGCAUGCCUAAUACAUGCAAGUUGAACGAUGAUAUUCUCUGCUUGCAGAGAAUUGAAGAGUAGCGAACGGGUGAGUAACACGUGGGGAACCUGCCCAUGAGAGGGGGAUAACAUUCGGAAACGGAUGCUAAUACCGCAUAAUGCUUUGGACCGCCUGGUCCAGAGACGAAAGACGGCUUUUGCUGUCACUCAUGGAUGGCCCCGCGCCGUAUUAGCUAGUUGGUGAGGUAAUGGCUCACCAAAGCUGUGAUACGUAGCCGACCUGAGAGGGUGAUCGGCCACACUGGGACUGAGACACGGCCCAGACUCCUAUGGGAGGCAGCAGUAGGGAAUCUUCCACAAUGGGCGAAAGCCUGAUGGAGCAAUGCCGCGUGAAUGAAGAAGGUCUUCGGAUCGUAAAGUUCUGUUAUUAGAGAAGAACAAGUCAAGGAGUAACUGUCUUGACUUUGACGGUACCUAACCAGAAAGUCACGGCUAACUACGUG
rnacentral:rRNA from 1 species